rnacentral:rRNA from 1 species
UCCUGAAGGAACGUUGGAGACGACGACGUUGAUAGGCCGGGUGUGUAAGCGCAGCGAUGCGUUGAGCUAACCGGUACUAAUGAACCGUGAGGCUUAACCUUACAACGCCGAAGCUGUU